UGGGGAAUUGUUCGCAAUGGGCGCAAGCCUGACGACGCAACGCCGCGUGGAGGAUGAAGAUUUUCGGAUCGUAAACUCCUGUCGAGCGGGACGAACACCGCGCGGGCGAACAGCCCGGGCGGCUGACGGUACCGCUAAAAGAAGCACCGGCUAACUCUGUGCCAGCAGCCGCGGUAAUACAGAGGGUGCGAGCGUUAAUCGGAAUUACUGGGCGUAAAGCGCACGUAGGCGGCUUUGCAAGUCGGGUGUGAAAUCCCCGGGCUCAACCUGGGAACUGCAUUCGAUACCGCAUUGCUGGAGUAUGGGAGAGGGAAGUGGAAUUUCCGGUGUAGCGGUGAAAUGCGUAGAUAUCGGAAGGAACACCAGUGGCGAAAGCGACUUCCUGGACCAAUACUGACGCUCAGGUGCGAAAGCGUGGGGAGCAA
rnacentral:rRNA from 1 species